rnacentral:rRNA from 1 species
ACGGCCGCAAGGUUAAACUCAUAGGUAUUGACGUGGUCCCGCACAAGCAGCGGAGCGUGUGGUUUAAUUCGAUGAUACGCGAAGAACCUUACCUGGGCUGAACUACGUGGUAGUAGUGAAGCGUAAGCGGAUCGACCCUUCGGGGAGCCUCGAUAGGUGCUGCAUGGCUGUCGUCAGCUCGUGUCGUGAGAUGUUGGGUUAAGUCCCGCAACGAGCGCAACCCUCGUCGCUAGUUACAAGUGUCUAGCGAGACUGCCGGUAUCAAACCGGAGGAAGGUGGGGAUGACGUCAAGUCAGCAUGGUUUUUAUGUCCAGGGCUACACACACGCUACAAUGGUCGGUACAAUAGGUUGCCACACCGCGAGGUGGAGCUAAUCCUCAAAGCCGAUCUCAGUUCGGAUUGUAGUCUGCAACUCGACUACAUGAAGGCGGAGUUGCUAGUAACCGCGCGUCAGCAUAGUGCGGUGAAUGCGUUCCCGGGCCUUGUACACACCGCCCGUCACAUCAUGGGAGU